rnacentral:rRNA from 1 species
GAUGAACGCUGGCGGCGUGCCUAAUACAUGCAAGUCGAGCGAACAGACGAUGAUCUUGCUCCUCUCACGUUAGCGGCGGACGUGUGAGUCACACGUGUAUAACCUACCUAUAAGACUGAUAUAACUUCGGGACACCGGCGCUAAUACCGUAUAAUAUACUGAUCCACGUUGUUCAAUAGUAAAAUACGGUGUUUCUGUCACUUAUAGAUGGAUCCGCGCCGCAUUAGAUAGUUGUUAAGGUAACGGCUUACCAAGGCAACGAUGCGUAGCCGAACUGAGAGGGUGAUAGGCCACACUGGAACUGGGACACGGUCAAGACUACUGAGGGAGGCAGCAGUAGGGAAUCUUACGCAAUGGGGGAAAGCCUGACGGAGUAACGCGGAGUGAGAGAUGAAGGUCUUGGGAUCGUGAAAAUCUGUUAUUAGGGAAGAACAACUGUGUAAGUAACUAUGCACGUAUUGACGGUACCUAAUCAGAAAGCAACGGCUAACUACGUG